rnacentral:lncRNA from 1 species
GAAAUCACAAAAUAUCACUGACAUGAAUGGUCAGAAAUCAAAAAAUAUCACUGACAUGAAUGGUCAGAAAUCAAAAAAUAUCACUGACAUGAUUGGUCAGAUAUUUCUAACAAAUACAUAUAAUAAUACCGACAUGAAUGGUCAGAUAUCAAACAAUACCACUGACAUGAAUGGUCAGAUCUUUCUGACAAGAUUGGCCAGAAAACAAAAUGUUCCCUUAAGGAUAUAUACAAUCACCCACUACUGUAAGCACAAUUAGACAAAAAAGGCAC